rnacentral:rRNA from 1 species
GAUGAACGCUGGCGGCGUGCCUAAUACAUGCAAGUCGAGCGAACGGACGAGAAGCUUGCUUUUCUGAUGUUAGCGGCGGACGGGUGAGUAACACGUGGAUAACCUACCUAUAAGACUGGGAUAACUUCGGGAAACCGGAGCUAAUACCAGAUAAUAUUUUGAACCGCAUGGUUCAAAAGUGAAAGACGGUCUUGCUGUCACUUAUAGAUGGAUCCGCGCUGCAUUAGCUAGUUGGUAAGGUAACGGCUUACCAAGGCAACGAUGCAUAGCCGACCUGAGAGGGUGAUCGGCCACACUGGAACUGAGACACGGUCCAGACUCCUACGGGAGGCAGCAGUAGGGAAUCUUCCGCAAUGGGCGAAAGCCUGACGGAGCAACGCCGCGUGAGUGAUGAAGGUCUUCGGAUCGUAAAACUCUGUUAUUAGGGAAGAACAUAUGUGUAGGUAACUGUGCACAUCUUGACGGUACCUAAUCAGAAAGCCACGGCUGACUACGUGCCAGCAGCCGCGGUAAUACGUAGGUGGCAAGCGUUAUCCGGAAUUAUUGGGCGUAAAGCGCGCGUAGGCGGUUUUUUAAGUCUGAUGUGAAAGCCCACGGCUCAACCGUGGAGGGUCAUUGGAAACUGGAAAACUUGAGUGCAGAAGAGGAAAGUGGAAUUCCAUGUGUAGCGGUGAAAUGCGCAGAGAUGUGGAGGAACACCAGUGGCGAAGGCGACUUUCUGGUCUGUAACUGACGCUGAUGUGCGAAAGCGUGGGGAUCAAACAGGAUUAGAUACCCUGGUAGUCCACGCCGUAAACGAUGAGUGCUAAGUGUUAGGGGGUUUCCGCCCCUUAGUGCUGCAGCUAACGCAUUAAGCACUCCGCCUGGGGAGUACGACCGCAAGGUUGAAACUCAAAGGAAUUGACGGGGGCCCGCACAAGCGGUGGAGCAUGUGGUUUAAUUCGAAGCAACGCGAAGAACCUUACCAAAUCUUGACAUCCUUUGACAACUCUAGAGAUAGAGCCUUCCCCUUCGGGGGACAAAGUGACAGGUGGUGCAUGGUUGUCGUCAGCUCGUGUCGUGAGAUGUUGGGUUAAGUCCCGCAACGAGCGCAACCCUUAAGCUUAGUUGCCAUCAUUAAGUUGGGCACUCUAAGUUGACUGCCGGUGACAAACCGGAGGAAGGUGGGGAUGACGUCAAAUCAUCAUGCCCCUUAUGAUUUGGGCUACACACGUGCUACAAUGGACAAUACAAAGGGCAGCGAAACCGCGAGGUCAAGCAAAUCCCAUAAAGUUGUUCUCAGUUCGGAUUGUAGUCUGCAACUCGACUACAUGAAGCUGGAAUCGCUAGUAAUCGUAGAUCAGCAUGCUACGGUGAAUACGUUCCCGGGUCU